rnacentral:lncRNA from 1 species
CUCAUCCAAAUAGGCUUUACCAAGUAGAGACGCACAACCCUUUGUAAAAACCAAACCCUUCAGCGUUAAAGUUCAAUUUCUCCAAAACAAACCCGUGAGCGUGAAUCCAUUUCCCCCAAAUCCAUAUCUCCAAAUUGAGCCCUUAAUCGUGAAAUUUCAUUUCUCCCAAAUCGAAACCCUUAAGCGUGAAAUCCAUUUCCCCCAAAUGCUUAGAGUGACUUCGACAAAAUCGUUGACAAAUUGCAAGACAUGAAAGAGGCGGAGUCUGCCUAAUUGAGAUCGGCAAGGGCACGAGCAGGGCAACGGAUUAAAUUUGCCAAAUUGAAAGACGCACAGCCACGAUAAAUAAUGUGACAUCAGUUUGGUGUAUUGGUUUUUGAGAAUAAAUGCUAGAAAUUAUCAGCAACAAUUGGGGGAAGAUGCACUGCAGUCAAGUGUUUUUGUUUUUUGGGUAACGUUGCUGGAAAUUAGCAGGCAACAUUUGGAGAAGAUGCACAGCAGUUCGGUGUUUUUGUUUAUGGGUAAUGAUAUAUAUAUAUAUAUUUCAUGUUUCUGCGGG